rnacentral:sRNA from 1 species
UAGAAAAUAACUUUUAGUUUCAGCAAGUGUCGAUUGACAAAACAUGGUCUGUCAAAACUCCUAGGAAGUAUGUUGUUGGAUAUAGUAUGAUGUUGGACAAAGUAAGCUGUUGGAUAAAGUUUAUAGGAUAUGAUCUACUUUCACGGUUCCACUUUUUGGAAUGUGGUUAUGAUAUGUUAAUUACUUGACUUUCACAACUGUUGGCUCAAGAAAAGCACUUUCAGGGUUUGGGCGAGUUAUAACAAAGUGAUGGCUGAGUUAUGCCUUUAUUGUGGCUGAGUUAUGUUAGAAGAUUUCGAUUGUUCGAACUACAUAAGAGAAAACCAAAUGUUAUUAUGAGAUUUGAAUACAAGCAUUAUUGUUGGUUCGAUCGAUGUCAUCAAAUCAGUCAGAAUAUUGCUGUGUUUUGCUUUUGCGGAGUUUAUCGAGAAACAAUUAUUAUGUUAUUCUCGAGAUUAAAAAAAUGAGUUAAUAGGGAACCGCGAAUAAUGAUUGGUUUCAUAGAUGCACGAACACGUCAAUAUUUAAAAUAAUUCAACCGAGUUCGAAAUUAUUCCUUAACUAAACCCUCCAAUAAUCAAAUUUUCUGUUUCGACGUGGAAUAAAAUAACGUUACGGCUGAGUUAUGCAAUAAGAUUUCGUGUUUUGGCCGAGUUAUGAGAUACCAUAUGUUAUUAUGAUAUACCAAACCAGCCACCAAAUUGUUGGUUAUAUUAGUAGCGUGAAGAUGUGCAAUUUGAAAACAGAAAAUAACUUUUAGUUUCAGCAAGUGUCGAUUGACAAAACAUGGUCUGUCAAAACCUCUAGGAAGUAUGUUGUUGGAUAUAGUAUGAUGUUGGACAAAGUAGGCUGUUGGAUAAAGUUUAUAGGAUAUGAUCUACUUUCACGGUUCCACUAUUUGGAAUGUGGUUAUGAUAUGUUAAUUACUUGAUUUUCACAACUGUUGGCUCAAGAAAAGCACUUUCAGGGUUUGGCCGAGUUAUAACAAAGUAAUGGCUAAGAAAUUCCUUUAUUGUGGCUGAGUUAUGUUAGAAAGUUCUCGAAAAAUAUUCUCCGCUACGUCAGAUACGACGUCGGUUUGUUACAGAGUCUCCGUUAUUGACUAGAUACGUCGUCGUUGUGACAAAAACCAAAUGAACAUGGACACACUUAUAAAUCCCCAAAACGAAACCCUAAGUUAUAAAAUUCCAAUUUCUGAUUUCAGAUCCGGAGCUCUUUCUUGCUUUUCGUCUCCGAAUUUUCCAGCUAAAAAUUAAAGAAAUGAGUAGCAAUUUCGAUAACUCGAUUGCGAGUACGCAAUCCGUCAGCCGUUGGGGACGUGGGUUACCAUCGAAGUGUAAUUGCGGAUUAGACGUGGUCAUCUAUACAUCGACGUCAGGAAGGAACCCUGGAAGACCAUACUUCCGUUGUCCUACUCGUAAAGAUGUAAGUAUAUAAUUGAUUUGAGGGUUUUAUUGGUUUCGUUGUUAAUUGCGGAUGUGAUUGAAUAUACAGGACCAUUUGUUUAAAUGUGUCGAAGAUGGUACAUACGAAGUGGUUGUAGACAGUUGGCCAAAAUUGUCCGGCUUCGACAGUGAGUUAAGCGCGGCCAAGUCCGAGGUUUCUGUCGAGCUAGAAGCGUUACAGGCGAUGGUGAAAGAACUGAAGGAAGAAGUGAUGAGGAGCGAAAGGGAAAACCAGAAAUGGAAAUUGAUGAUCAAACUUUGCUGCUUUUGUCUUGCCUUUAUUAUCAUUGUCAUUGUUUUUGGUAUCUUAAUGUUCCCAAAAAUCAACGAACAGAGGCUUUUUCUUGGCUACUAGUUUGUCUUAUGUUUGUAUGAAUUGUUUGCUACUGGAAUCUAUUAUGUGUUUGAUGUUUAUCUCAGCGUAUAGGGUUAAUUCGUUUUUUUGGUUCAAGUAGUAGCUUGCAAUGAAAUGGAACUUUGUCUUCGGCCAAGCUAAUCCAAUAUCGUUGACUGAGUUAUACUGGUAAUGUUGUGGCUGAGUUAAUCAUGGCUGAGUUAAUAUCUGUUGUGUCUUCGGAAAUAUAGGUUACGGCUGAGUUAUUAUAAUGUUUUGGAUGAGUUAAUUAUACGCUAUGACUGAGUUAAUCAUACGCUAUGACUGAGUUAUGAUAAAAUUUAACAAGUAACCUCAAGCGAUAACCGCAGACUUUACUGAGAAGGCGAAGGCGAUCGUAGAUAAUAUGAGAUAUAAAGCCAUCACAA